rnacentral:rRNA from 1 species
CUGCUGCCUCCCGUAGGAGUCUGGGCCGUGUCUCAGUCCCAGUGUGGGGGGCCUUCCUCUCAGAACCCCUACGCAUCGUCGCCACGGUGGGCCGUCACCCCGCCGUCCUAGCUAAUGCGCCGCAUGCCCAUCCGCCACCGGAUCGCUUCCUUUGGCCACCGGAGGAUGCCCUCCGGUGGCGUCACGGGGUAUUAGGCCGCGUUUCCGCGGGUUAUCCCCCUGUGGCGGCCAGGUUCGCAUACGUGUUACUCACCCGUGCGCCGGUCGCCGGCGGG